CGUGGGUGAUCUGCCCUUCACUUCGGGAUAAGCCUGGGAAACUGGGUCUAAUACCGGAUAGGACCAAUCUUUAGUGUGGUUGGUGGAAAGUUUUUUCGGUGGAGGAUGAGCCCGCGGCCUAUCAGCUUGUUGGUGGGGUAAUGGCCUACCAAGGCGACGACGGGUAGCCGGCCUGAGAGGGUGGACGGCCACAUUGGGACUGAGACACGGCCCAGACUCCUACGGGAGGCAGCAGUGGGGAAUAUUGCACAAUGGGCGGAAGCCUGAUGCAGCGACGCCGCGUGAGGGAUGACGGCCUUCGGGUUGUAAACCUCUUUCGCUAGGGAAGAAGCCUUCGGGUGACGGUACCUGGAUAAGAAGCACCGGCUAACUACGUGCCAGCAGCCGCGGUAAUACGUAGGGUGCGAGCGUUGUCCGGAAUUACUGGGCGUAAAGAGCUCGUAGGUGGUUUGUCGCGUCGUCUGUGAAAUUCCGGGGCUUAACU
rnacentral:rRNA from 1 species